UACGGAGGAUGCGAGCGUUAUCCGGAUUUAUUGGGUUUAAAGGGUGCGUAGGCGGGCUGUUAAGUCAGCGGUCAAAUGUCGGGGCUCAACCUCGUCGUGCCGUUGAAACUGACACCCUUGAGUGAGUGAGAAGUAAGCGGAAUGCGUGGUGUAGCGGUGAAAUGCAUAGAUAUCACGCAGAACUCCGAUUGCGAAGGCAGCGUACCGGCGCCGGACUGACGCUGAGGCACGAAAGCGUGGGUAUCGAACAGG
rnacentral:rRNA from 1 species